rnacentral:rRNA from 1 species
GAUGAACGCUGGCGGCGUGCCUAAUACAUGCAAGUCGAGCGAACGGACGAGAAGCUUGCUUCUCUGAUGUUAUCGGCGGACGGGUGAGUAACACGUGGAUAACCUACCUAUAAGACUGGGAUAACUUCGGGAAACCGGAGCUAAUACCGGAUGAUAUUUUGAACCGCAUGGUUCAAAAGUGAAAGACGGUCUUGCUGUCACUUAUAGAUGGAUCCGCGCUGCAUUAGCUAGUUGGUAAGGUAACGGCUUACCAAGGCAACGAUGCAUAGCCGACCUGAGAGGGUGAUCGGCCACACUGGAACUGAGACACGGUCCAGACUCCUACGGGAGGCAGCAGUAGGGAAUCUUCCGCAAAGGGCGAAAGCCUGACGGAGCAACGCCGCGUGAGUGAUGAAGGUCUUCGGAUCGUAAAACUCUGUUAUUAGGGAAGAACAUAUGUGUAAGUAACUGUGCACAUCUUGACGGUACCUAAUCAGAAAGCCACGGCUAACUACGUG